rnacentral:rRNA from 1 species
GAUGAACGCUGGCGGCGUGCCUAAUACAUGCAAGUCGAGCGAACAGACGAGGAGCUUGCUCCUCUGACGUUAGCGGCGGACGGGUGAGUAACACGUGGAUAACCUACCUAUAAGACUGGGAUAACUUCGGGAAACCGGAGCUAAUACCGGAUAAUAUAUUGAACCGCAUGGUUCAAUAGUGAAAGACGGUUUUGCUGUCACUUAUAGAUGGAUCCGCGCCGCAUUAGCUAGUUGGUAAGGUAACGGCUUACCAAGGCAACGAUGCGUAGCCGACCUGAGAGGGUGAUCGGCCACACUGGAACUGAGACACGGUCCAGACUCCUACGGGAGGCAGCAGUAGGGAAUCUUCCGCAAUGGGCGAAAGCCUGACGGAGCAACGCCGCGUGAGUGAUGAAGGUCUUCGGAUCGUAAAACUCUGUUAUUAGGGAAGAACAAAUGUGUAAGUAACUAUGCACGCCUUGACGGUACCUAAUCAGAAAGCGACGGCUAACUACGUG